CAGUCCGCGGUAAUACAGAGGGUGCGAGCGUUAAUCGGAUUUACUGGGCGUAAAGCGUGCGUAGGCGGCUUCUUAAGUCGGAUGUGAAAUCCCUGAGCUUAACUUAGGAAUUGCAUUCGAUACUGGGAAGCUAGAGUAUGGGAGAGGAUGGUAGAAUUCCAGGUGUAGCGGUGAAAUGCGUAGAGAUCUGGAGGAAUACCGAUGGCGAAGGCAGCCAUCUGGCCUAAUACUGACGCUGAGGUACGAAAGCAUGGGGAGCAAACAGGAUUAGAGACCCCAGUAGUCCCUGUCUCUUAUACAC
rnacentral:rRNA from 1 species